GAAGAGGGGGAUUUCCUCACUCUCCUUCAGCCCUGCAUGGGGGCCCUCUCUGCCUGGCUGCAUUGCUCUCCUUCUUACACUCCAGAUUCACCAUCUGAUGGCAGCGGCCCUGCAGUCUGAACCAGAGAGUGAAAAAGAGAGGCACCAUGCAGAUAAAGUGGACGUGACUCUGGACCCAGACCCGGCUCAUCCCAACCUCGUCCUGUCUGAGGAUCGGAAACAUGUGAGACAUGAGGACACCUGACAGGAUCUGCCCAACAGCCCUGAGAGAUUUGAUUGCUGUGCUUGCGUCCUGGGCUCUGAGGGGUUCACAGGUGGGAGGCAGUACUGGGAGGUGGAGGUGGGAGACAAGAAGCGCUAGACUCUGGGCAUGUGCAGGGAGUCUGCGCGCAGGAAGGGGGGCAUCACAGUGUCACCGGAGGAAGAAUACUGGGCUGUGCAGCUGCGGGAUGGGGAAUACCAAGCCAACACCUCCCCCUUGAUGCCUCUCCCUGUGUACGUGCUGCCCAGGUGCGUGGGGGUUUUCCUGGACUAUGAGUUGGGCGAGGUCUCAUUUUACAACGUGACUGACAGGUCCCAUCUCUUCACUUUCACUGACUCCUUCUCUGGGACCCUGCACCCGUAUUUCUAGCCUGGUGUUAAUUCUGGGGGCAUCAACACGGAUCCCCUGAUCCUGUGCCCGGUCCCAGCCCAGCCCUGAGGGAAUCCCUGUCACUGCCAUGCCAUGAUACAUGUGGAACAGACUGUCCCCUUCCAGCCCUAUCCAUGCCCCCUGCAAGUGUGAGCCCCUCUGGUGCCUCUGGUGUGGGGCUGGGGAGAAGCAGGGCAGAGCUGGGGUCUCCCAACGAUGGCUGCCCUGCACCCCAGGGUUCAUCUCCCAAUCCCCAUACCCACAGUACCACCCACUUGGAAGGGAUCAUCUCCAAAUUCUUAUCCUUCACUUAAAAAUCACUGCAGUCCCCCUGGGCUUAUCACUUUGUUACUUUGUUCCCCACUUUCAGCAUUGCCCUGUGCAGCUCGAGAUGCUGGCGCUUAUCAGCUUGGCUCGGAGGCAAAAAGAAGCUGUGGCCCUGGGGGCUGCGCCCACAUGCAGCCCAUCGUGGACCGGGGGCUGGGAGGGAAGGGUGAGGCUGGGCAGGCGGGCAGGGGGGGACACCUGCCCCAUCACCUAUGGGCCAUGGAGAAGCUUACAGCCUAUUGGGAGAAGCUGCUGGGUGCUCCUCAGCUGCAAUAGCAAGAGCUGUGCAGGGAGGGAGCUUUGGAGGGAAAAGGGGAGGCAGCUGUCAGGAGCAGGACGCAACCCCACAUCACCAGAGGAGACUACAACCUAAACACAGCGCCUUUGACCACUCGGCCAUCCUGACAGUGUAGUAAAAAGACGUUAGCCCCCAUAAUUUUGCAGUAAUGCUUGAGCAACAACCGUAUGAUAGAAGUGUCUUAUGACCCAAUCUUAUGACCCUUUUGUGUAAAGAUCAGGAGGUCUAAUGUCCAAGCUGUGGUCUGUGGUUCUUACUGCUUGCCUUGCAUUUUGAAAUCAUCUCUGUCCAGUGCCUUAAGGUUACGUUAAGAUAAGAAGUUACUAAAGUUUAACUAACUUUGUUGAAAUUGCUCUUUUCUUCUGAGCAUGCUGCAAUUCUACCUUUGAGUGCGCACGUACUAACCCUGAUAAGUCACAUUAACCAAUAACUAGUUAAGUACAGCCUACAAGAUAAGACGUCACAAUUAGGAACUGGUACUGCAGCCAAUAAACUUCUAAUACGUCAAGACUCUGUUGAAUGUAAGCUAUAAAAAUGUAAUUCCAGGCCGGACUCAUCGUCGGCCCUGAUUUGAGCUCUCUGCUCCCCGGUCGAACUGUUUGCAAACAAUAAACCUAGAUGGACCCAG